rnacentral:rRNA from 1 species
UACGUAGGGUGCGAGCGUUGUCCGGAAUUAUUGGGCGUAAAGAGCUUGUAGGCGGUUUGUCGCGUCUGCCGUGAAAAUCCGGGGCUCAACCCCGGACUUGCGGUGGGUACGGGCAGACUAGAGUGUGGUAGGGGAGACUGGAAUUCCUGGUGUAGCGGUGAAAUGUGUAGAGAUCGGGAGGAACACCGGUGGCGAAGGCGGGUCUCUGGGCAAUUCCUGACGCUGAGGCGCGAAAGCGUGGGGAGCAAACGGG